rnacentral:misc_RNA from 1 species
AAGUCGUAACAAGGUUUCCGUAGGUGAACCUGCGGAAGGAUCAUUAAUACGCUUUUGUUUGUAACAAAACAAAACGUUUUAAACUCCAAAAGAAAUAGUGGAAAUAUAACUUCUGGAUGCGAAUGUUGGGGAACUGAGUAAAAUUGGUUCUUUGAAAAGGGACUUCAAGCAAUUGACACUUCAGAGUAGAGCAGUGAGGUGAAAUUCUCUUUUCGAAGAGAGUUUGGUUCUGAAAAACAUUUGUAUCCGGUUAUCAUAACCUGUUCUACAAAUUCUAUCAAACAAUAAACCCCAUGUAUAACAACUUGAACUAAACAUUUUUUUGUUAUCCUUCUUGCACUUUUGUGAGAAGAUACUACGAAGAAAAAACCUGAACUUAAGAACAACUCUUAACAACGGAUAUCUUGGUUCUC